GCCGUGAGGUGUUGCCUUAAGUGGCGCAACGAGCGCAACCCCUGUCCUUAGUUGCCAGCGGGUAAUGCCGGGAACUCUAGGGAGACUGCCGGUGCCAAACCGGAGGAAGGUGGGGAUGACGUCAAGUCAUCAUGCCCCUUAUGUCCAGGGCUGCACACAUGCUACAAUGCGCGAUACAGAGGGCUGCGAUCCCGCAAGGGGGAGCGAAUCCCAAAAAGUCGCGCUCAGUUCGGAUCGGGGUCUGCAACUCGACCCCGUGAAGUCGGAGUCGCUAGUAAUCGCAGAUCAGCAAUGCUGCGGUGAAUACGUUCCCGGGCCUUGUACACACCGCCCGUCACACCACGAAAGUGGGUAACACCCGAAGCCGGUGGCCUAACCCUUGUGGAAGGAGCCGUCGAAGGUGGGAUCCGCGAUUGGGGUGAAGUCGUAACAAGGUAGCCGUACCGGAAGGUGCGGCUGGAUCACCUCCUUUCUAAGGAGCCAUUUGGCACUUCCGGGGAGUCCGGCGUCUGUUCGGGCUCCAGCUUCCGGAGGCUCUUAUGGUCGGUGCACUGGCUAUUCUUUUGACACCCAUCUUCCGAUCACGUCUAGUAGUCCCUUUCGAGGGGCGAACGGGUGAGCCGGCCUGAUGGGCAUGUCGUCAGGACACACUGUUCAGCUUUGAGGGUGCGAACCCUCGUCGGACCUUGAGAACUCGAUAGCGAGCGCGAGCAUCUACAGUCAAGUUACAAAGGGCUUACGGUGGAUGCCUUGGCGUCAGGAGCCGAUGAGGGACGCGUCAGGCUGCGAAAAGCCUCGGGGAGCUGCCGAGAGAGCUGAGAUCCGAGGAUGU
rnacentral:sRNA from 1 species